UUGCUUCCAUAGUAAAUACACUGAAAUUGGAAGGACAUGGAGACGAUCGCCAGGCUCUUGUGUAAGGAUAACACACAUAUCUAUGAUGCAUUUCAUGUUUUA
ensembl:snRNA U6 U6 spliceosomal RNA